CACACACACACACACGGGUCAAGCACACAAUACAUCUUAAUGUAUAAAGGCCAGUUGUGGUCCUUGGUGCCAGACUCAGAUAACUCAUCUCUCAGUUACUUUGUCAAGACAAAGAAGCCUGUGGAUCAGAAGGAUAAAAUGGAAGAGAAAAACAAAUCAGAACCCCGUUUAGCUGGGGACACUUAAUGUGGAGGAGUCACAGAUUUGACUUUGAAAUUUAGGAUGCCUUGCACUCAGCAACUAACACAGGACACAGCACACAAGGGAGCCUCAACUGAAAAAUGAAAAUCAAGGACUUAUUCCUGGGCACCAAAGGUCUGAUCAACCCCUUCACUCACUAACUAGUUUCCAGUGUGACCAAGACGGAGAACACAGGACAGAAACUAGCAGGCCACCAGCUGAAGGCAAAAAGGUGAGAACACUGAGUCUUAGGGAGGUUAAGAGAAGUGCCUAUAAUAUUUCAGUUGGUAUAUCAAAAUAAUUGAGAUUUCAACCCAGAUCAGCAUGGUUCUGAAGGCUACACUCUUCCUUGAAAACAAAUGGGCCAAUCGGCGACUCAGGUGAGGAAAAAGAAAAAAAAAAUUGUCGUGUGAUUUAUAGGCACGUCUUCAGGGUUUUUAAAAAUGCAAUAUA